rnacentral:lncRNA from 10 species
AUGACACCUUGAAAGGGGAAGGAAAAGAAGGAAGAACACAUCAUCAGCCCCGGACUUCAGGUGGCUGAAGGAGAGAAUGUAUUUGGCAUCUACCAUAUCUUUGCAUCCUUCAAUGACACAUUUGUCCAUGUCACUGAUCUUUCUGGCAAAAAAAAAAAAAAAAAAUGUGCUGUGUGACUGGUGGGAUGAAGGUAAAGGGUGGCCAGAUGAAUCCUCUCCACAUGCUGCCACGCUGGCCACCCAGGAUGUGGCCUAGAGGUGCAAGGAACCAGACACCACUGGCCUACAUCAAACUCCAGGCCACAGAUGGAAAUAGGACUGAGAUCCCUGGACCUGGGGCCCGCUCAGGUAUGA